rnacentral:rRNA from 1 species
GUCCACGCCGUAACGAUGAGAACUAGGUGUUGCGGUAUUGACCCUGCAGUGCCGCAGCUAACGCAUUAAGUUCUCCGCCUGGGAAGUACGGUCGCAAGACUAAACUCAAGGAAUUGACGGGCCCGCACAAGCGGUGGAGCAUGUGGUUAAUUCGACGCAACGCGCAGAACCUUACCUGGGCUUGACAUCCGCGGAACCUCUGUGAAAGCAGGGGUGCCUUCGGGAGCCGCGAGACAGGUGCUGCAUGGCUGUCGU